rnacentral:rRNA from 1 species
UUAAGGCUGAGACUUGAUGCAUACCCGUUGUGGGGAAUUCAGUGAUCCUAUGCUGCCGAGAAAAGCCUCUAGUGAGUUCAUACACGGCCCGUACCCCAAACCGACACAGGUGAUCAGGUAGAGAAUACCAAGGCGAUCGAGAGAACUGUGGUUAAGGAACUCGGCAAAAUGCCCCCGUAACUUCGGGAGAAGGGGGACCAUGCCCGGUGAACAUCUUCACGGUGGGAGCUGGGUGUGGUCGCAGAGACCAGAGAGAAGCGACUGUUUACUAAAAACACAGGUCCGUGCGAAGACGUAAGUCGAUGUAUACGGACUGACGCCUGCCCGGUGCUGGAAGGUUAAGAGGACCGGUUAGCCGUAAGGCGAAGCUGAGAAUUUAAGCCCCAGUAAACGGCGGUGGUAACUAUAACCAUCCUAAGGUAGCGAAGUUCCUUGUCGGGUAAGUUCCGACCUGCACGAAUGGCGUAACGACUUCUCUGCUGUCUCGACCACAGACUCGGCGAAAUUGCACUACGAGUAAAGAUGCUCGUUACGCGCGGCAGGACGAAAAGACCCCGGGACCUUUACUAUAGCUUGGUAUUGGCGUUCGAUUCGGUUUGUGUAGGAUAGGUGGGAGACUGUGAAGCAUGCACGCCAGUGUGUGUGGAGUCGUUGUUGAAAUACCACUCUGAUCGUAUUGGACGUCUAACCUCGGCCCAUGAUCUGGGUUAGGGACAGUGCCUGGUGGGUAGUUUAACUGGGGCGGUUGCCUCCUAAAGAGUAACGGAGGCGCCCAAAGGUUCCCUCAGCCUGGAUGGCAAUCAGGUGUUGAGUGCAAGUGCACAAGGGAGCUUGACUGUGAGACUGACACGUCGAGCAGGGACGAAAGUCGGGACUAGUGAUCCGGCACCGGCAAGUGGAAGCGGUGUCGCUCAACGGAUAAAAGGUACCCCGGGGAUAACAGGCUGAUCUUCCCCAAGAGUCCAUAUCGACGGGAUGGUUUGGCACCUCGAUGUCGGCUCGUCGCAUCCUGGGGCUGGAGUAGGUCCCAAGGGUUGGGCUGUUCGCCCAUUAAAGCGGCACGCGAGCUGGGUUUAGAACGUCGUGAGACAGUUCGGUCUCUAUCCGCCGCGCGCGUAAGAAACUUGAGGAAGGCUGUCCCUAGUACGAGAGGACCGGGACGGACGAACCUCUGGUGUGCCAGUUGUUCCACCAGGAGCAUGGCUGGUUAGCUACGUUCGGAAGGGAUAACCGCUGAAAGCAUCUAAGCGGGAAGCCUGUUCCAAGAUGAGGUUUCUCACCACCUUGCGUGGUUAAGGCCCCCUACAGACCAUGGGGUUGAUAGGCCGGAACUGGAAGCGCAGCAAUGCGUGGAGGUGACCGGUACUAAUAGGCCGAGGGCUUACU